rnacentral:rRNA from 1 species
GACGAACGCUGGCGGCGUGCCUAAUACAUGCAAGUUGAGCGCUUAAGGUUGGUACUUGUACCAACUGGAUGAGCAGCGAACGGGUGAGUAACGCGUGGGGAAUCUGCCUUGGAGCGGGGGACAACAUUUGGAAACGAAUGCUAAUACCGCAUAAAAACUUUAAACACAAGUUUUAAGUUUGAAAGAUGCAAUUGCAUCACUCAAAGAUGAUCCCGCGUUGUAUUAGCUAGUUGGUGAGGUAAAGGCUCACCAAGGCGAUGAUACAUAGCCGACCUGAGAGGGUGAUCGGCCACAUUGGGACUGAGACACGGCCCAAACUCCUACGGGAGGCAGCAGUAGGGAAUCUUCGGCAAUGGACGAAAGUCUGACCGAGCAACGCCGCGUGAGUGAAGAAGGGUGUCGGAUCGUAAAACUCUGUUGGUAGAGAAGAACGUUGGUGAGAGUGGAAAGCUCAUCAAGUGACGGUAACUACACAGAAAGGGACGGCUAACUACGUG